UGCAAAUGAUGUUUUACUCACGAUGGUCUUCCAAGUCUCACUGGUGAAGAGGCUCUGACGAUAGUGCCAGAUGGCUUUGCUGAUGUCUAUGC